GGUGUCGCCAAGUGGUAAGGCGUCUGCCUUUGGAGCAGAUAUUCGUAGGUUCGAGUCCUGCCACC
rnacentral:tRNA from 1 species